rnacentral:rRNA from 1 species
GAUGAACGCUGGCGGCGUGCCUAAUACAUGCAAGUCGAGCGAACAGACGAGGAGCUUGCUCCUCUGACGUUAGCGGCGGACGGGUGAGUAACACGUGGAUACCCUACCUAUAAGACUGGGAUAACUUCGGGAAACCGGAGCUAAUACCGGAUAAUAUAUUGAACCGCAUGGUUCAAUAGUGAAAGACGGUUUUGCUGUCACUUAUAGAUGGAUCCGCGCCGCAUUAGCUAGUUGGUAAGGUAACGGCUUACCAAGGCAACAAUGCGUAGCCGACCUGAGAGGGUGAUCGGCCACACUGGAACUGAGACACGGUCCAGACUCCUACGGGAGGCAGCAGUAGGGAAUCUUCCGCAAUGGGCGAAAGCCUGACGGAACAACGCCGCGUGAGUGAUGAAGGUCUUCGGAUCGUAAAACUCUGUUAUUAGGGAAGAACAAAUGUGUAAGUAACUAUGCACGUCUUGACGGUACCUAAUCAGAAAGCCACGGCUAACUACGUG